rnacentral:rRNA from 1 species
GACGAGCCACACGAACGUUAUUCGGAAUUACUGGGCUUAAAGGGUGCGUAGGCUGCGCGGAAAGUUGGGUGUGAAAUCCCUCGGCUCAACCGAGGAACUGCGCCCAAAACUACCGUGCUCGAGGAAGAUAGAGGUAAGCGGAACUUACGGUGGAGCGGUGAAAUGCGUUGAUAUCGUGAGGAACACCGGAGGCGAAAGCGGCUCACUGGGGCUUAUCUGACGCUGAGGCACGAAAGCUAGGGGAGCAAACGGG